GACGAACGCUGGCGGCGUGCCUAAUACAUGCAAGUCGAGCGAAUGACGAGAAGCUUGCUUCUCUGAUUUAGCGGCGGACGGGUGAGUAACACGUGGGCAACCUGCCCUACAGAUCGGGAUAACUCAGGGAAACCUGGGCUAAUACCGGAUAAUCCUUCGAAUCACAUGUUUUGAAGUUGAAAGGCGCUUCGGCGUCACUGGAGGGUGGGCCCGCGGUGCAUUAGCUAGUUGGUGGGGUAACGGCCUACCAAGGCAACGAUGCAUAGCCGACCUGAGAGGGUGAUCGGCCACAUUGGGACUGAGACACGGCCCAAACUCCUACGGGAGGCAGCAGUAGGGAAUCUUCCACAAUGGACGAAAGUCUGAUGGAGCAACGCCGCGUGAGUGAUGAAGGUUUUCGGAUUGUAAAACUCUGUUGUAAGGGAAGAACAAGUACGUUAGGAAAUGAACGUACCUUGACGGUACCUUAUUAGAAAGCCACGGCUAACUACGUGCCAGCAGCCGCCGUAA
rnacentral:rRNA from 1 species